CGUAAGUGACAUUCGAACGCGGAACUCCGCUUGCUGGGGUGGAUGAGUGGCGAACGGGUGAGUAACACGUGAGUAACCUUCCCUUGACUCUGGGAUAAGCCCGGGAAACUGGGUCUAAUACCGGAUAUGACUUCUCAUCGCAUGGUGGGGGGUGGAAAGAUUUAUCGGUCUUGGAUGGACUCGCGGCCUAUCAGCUUGUUGGUGAGGUAAUGGCUCACCAAGGCGACGACGGGUAGCCGGCCUGAGAGGGUGACCGGCCACACUGGGACUGAGACACGGCCCAGACUCCUACGGGAGGCAGCAGUGGGGAAUAUUGCACAAUGGGCGCAAGCCUGAUGCAGCGACGCCGCGUGAGGGAUGACGGCCUUCGGGUUGUAAACCUCUUUCAGUAGGGAAGAAGCGAAAGUGACGGUACCUGCAGAAGAAGCGCCGGCUAACUACGUGCCAGCAGCCGCGGUAAUACGUAGGGCGCGAGCGUUAUCCGGAAUUAUUGGGCGUAAAGAGCUCGUAGGCGGUUUGUCGCGUCUGCCGUGAAAGUCCGGGGCUUAACCCCGGAUCUGC
rnacentral:rRNA from 1 species